rnacentral:rRNA from 1 species
GACGAACGCUGGCGGCGUGCCUAAUACAUGCAAGUAGAACGCUGAAGGAGGAGCUUGCUCUUCUGGAUGAGUUGCGAACGGGUGAGUAACGCGUAGGUAACCUGCCUGGUAGCGGGGGAUAACUAUUGGAAACGAUAGCUAAUACCGCAUAAGAGUAGAUGUUGCAUGGCAUUUGCUUAAAAGGUGCAAUUGCAUCACUACCAGAUGGACCUGCGUUGUAUUAGCUAGUUGGUGGGGUAACGGCUCACCAAGGCGACGAUACAUAGCCGACCUGAGAGGGUGAUCGGCCACACUGGGACUGAGACACGGCCCAGACUCCUACGGGAGGCAGCAGUAGGGAAGCUUCGGCAAUGGACGGAAGUCUGACCGAGCAACGCCGCGUGAGUGAAGAAGGUUUUCGGAUCGUAAAGCUCUGUUGUAAGAGAAGAACGAGUGUGAGAGUGGAAAGUUCACACUGUGACGGUAUCUUACCAGAAAGGGACGGCUAACUACGUG